CGGAAGCUUGCUGAUGGCGGACGGCCGGUACUAUGUUCUUCUGUAACAGAAGAGUUAUCUCACCUAUCCGUGUCGCCAGCGCCCGAGGGGCCGGUGACCAUCGACGAUGCGGACGUGGGUUUCCGAAACGAAGAGUAGACUCGCCUGUCCUGCCCCCAGAAGGCUCUUUACACGGACUGAUGCUGAAGAAUUAUGGGAACGCCAUCGCACUGAGUAAGGACUUCGCUGUGACCCGACUGGUGUGACUGGAAGGCUUACCUGCAGUUUCUCACUAACCGUGGCUCGGUCUUUUCUCCACAUUUCCCCGCUCGUGUGUGGUGGGACGCUUCAGGGUCUGGAGAACUUCUAGAGCUUCAGACCUUCCGAAGAGCUGAGCUCAAGCUUCUUCUGUUGCCGGUUUUUGUUUUAGUCAAUAUUUAUUUCUUCUUUAUAUUAUUUAUUUUUAUGUCAGACGAAAGCCCUGGAAUUUGCUUGUGACGUGGCUUGAAGUAUCCUUGAUUGGUAUGCCAAGCCCUUUUUUGGUGGAAGUGCUGCUGGAUGGGGCUGUGCAGGCCCUGAUUCCCAGUGUUUUGACAGAGAGAGUCUUGAAGUGCUGCUGUGCCCCAAGGCAAGAUCUUUCUUUUUCUUUCUUUUUUUUUUUCCCCUUAAGUAAACUGUACCCCCAACAUGAAGCUGAAACUCAGGACCCUAAGAUCAAGAGUCAUUAACAGUGGGCAGUUUUCUAAGUGUUCUCAGUGCUUGCUUUUCUCCUACCUGGAGCUCUGUGUAAGCAUUCCCCACAGCAGGAUCUGGGCGUGGGACUGACUGGUAGGUGUCUAGAGUGACUGCCCAUGGCCACUGUCAUCUUUUCAUUCCAGACACAAAAAGGAUUUGUCUACUGGGCCCAUCCACACCUCAGAGUAUAUUCUGUCCGUCAGAGAGAGCAUAUGACUCAAACUUCCCCCAAAUAUGUGAAAUGAGUCUAGUUCCUUUUGUCAUUAUAGUUCUGUAUCAGAAUGAUUUGAUUAUAUUAAAUUUGGGGGAGACAUUAA